rnacentral:rRNA from 1 species
GACGAACGCUGGCGGUGUGCUUAACACAUGCAAGUCGAGCGGUAAGGCCCUUUCGGGGGUACACGAGCGGCGAACGGGUGAGUAACACGUGGGUGACCUGCCCUCAGCUCUGGGAUAAGCCUGGGAAACUGGGUCUAAUACCGGAUAUGACCUGCUGCUUCAUGGUGGUGGGUGGAAAGUUUUUCGGCUGGGGAUGGGCCCGCGGCCUAUCAGCUUGUUGGUGGGGUGAUGGCCUACCAAGGCGACGACGGGUAGCCGGCCUGAGAGGGCGACCGGCCACACUGGGACUGAGACACGGCCCAGACUCCUACGGGAGGCAGCAGUGGGGAAUAUUGCGCAAUGGGCGGAAGCCUGACGCAGCGACGCCGCGUGGGGU